GGUCUCGCCUGCCAGUGACUAAUCAUUAAACGGCCGCGGUAUCCUAACCGUGCAAAGGUAGCGUAAUCACUUGUCCCCUAAAUAGGGACUAGUAUGAAUGGCUAAAUGAGGACUUAGCUGUCUCCUUUGAUUAAUCAGUGAAAUUGAUCUACCCGUACAAAAGCUGGUAUAAACACACAAGACGAGAAGACCCUGUGGAGCUUAAAACACCCAUGUCAAACCACCACCCUCUGCUAAAAUGACAUAACGUUUUCAGUUGGGGCGACUACGGAAACAAGCCAAACUUCCAAGCCAGAGGCCUACCCCCUCAUCAUAGACAAACAUGUCAAACUACUAUCUGACCCAGAGCCACUCUGAGUAACGAACUAAGUUACCCCAGGGAUAACAGCGCUAUCUUCUUCAAGAGUCCCCAUCGACAAGAAGGUUUACGACCUCGAUGUUGGAUCAGGACACCCAAAUGGUGCAACCGCUAUUAAAGGUUCGUUUGUUCAACGAUUAAAGUCCUACGUGAUC
rnacentral:rRNA from 1 species